rnacentral:lncRNA from 1 species
GCCUAGCCUAUAGCCCGACUCGAAGUUAGCAUGGCCCGAUGGGCCUUAAUUAGGUUGGCCUGAGCCCAUUUUCGGUCCUACUUCUCGCAUUGAAUUCAUUUCUAGAUUUGAAUUUGAUGCAGUGAUUAUUUAAAACUUUGCUUAUUUUCUUUUUUUGGGUGCUGAUUUGUUUUAAUAAUUUAUUUGAUUUCUAUUUCAGAUUGAUUUUUAAAUUGGUAUAUUAUUGAUGUAUUUCUUUUAUUGUGCUAUAUUUUCUAUUUGAAUUAAUAUUUUUUUUGGACUUGGCAUAUGCUUUGUUUUCUUUUUUGUAUUA